rnacentral:rRNA from 1 species
ACCUUACCUGAUUCUUCGGAUGAAGGUCUGGUGACUGAGUGGCGGACGGGUGAGUAACGCGUGGGUAACCUGCCCUGUACAGGGGGAUAACAGUUGGAAACGGCUGCUAAUACCGCAUAAGCGCACGAGAGGACAUCCUCUUGUGUGAAAAACUCCGGUGGUACAGGAUGGGCCCGCGUCUGAUUAGCUGGUUGGCAGGGUAACGGCCUACCAAGGCGACGAUCAGUAGCCGGUCUGAGAGGAUGAACGGCCACAUUGGAACUGAGACACGGUCCAAACUCCUACGGGAGGCAGCAGUGGGGAAUAUUGCACAAUGGGGGAAACCCUGAUGCAGCAACGCCGCGUGAGUGAAGAAGUAUUUCGGUAUGUAAAGCUCUAUCAGCAGGGAAGAUAAUGACGGUACCUGACUAAGAAGCUCCGGCUAAAUACGUGCCAGCAGCCGCGGUAAUACGUAUGGAGCAAGCGUUAUCCGGAUUUACUGGGUGUAAAGGGUGCGUAGGUGGCAGUGCAAGUCAGAUGUGAAAGGCCGGGGCUCAACCCCGGAGCUGCAUUUGAAACUGCAUAGCUGGAGUACAGGAGAGGCAGGCGGAAUUCCUAGUGUAGCGGUGAAAUGCGUAGAUAUUAGGAGGAACACCAGUGGCGAAGGCGGC